rnacentral:rRNA from 1 species
CCUACGGGAGGCAGCAGUGGGGAAUAUUGGACAAUGGGGGCAACCCUGAUCCAGCCAUGCCGCGUGAGUGAAGAAGGCCCUAGGGUUGUAAAGCUCUUUCACCCGUGACGAUGAUGACGGUAGCGGGAGAAGAAGCCCCGGCUAAUUCCGUGCCAGCAGCCGCGGUAAU